rnacentral:tRNA from 1 species
UAGCUCAGAUGGUAAAGCAUCUGCCUGCAAUGCAGGAGACCUGGGUUCAACCCCUG